GCUCGCUGUUCCUGCUCCUGACUCUGUGGAGGAAGAGGAGGAGGAGGAAGAGGCCUUGGGUUCACGCGAGGACGCCGCCUGCAGCCCAGAUGUGGCCCCGGUCCGGCGCCAAGCUCGCUCACCCGACGCCACCCCCGUCCCGCCACCCACGCCCUCUGGAGAGGCGGAGACAGGAGAAGAGCUGAAGACGGAGCUCGCCCCCGCCCCCAGCCCC